rnacentral:lncRNA from 1 species
CUCGUAAUGCUGAUCUCAGUCAUCUUUGUCCUUCCUUUUGUUGCUGAACAAUUAAAUGAUGUUUAAUAUUAGAUCAACAACAACGUCAAAAAAAAAGGUCAAUGACAUUUGUUUCCAAUUGCAGGCAAGAAAUAAUGCUCGAAUUCUUAUAUCUGGCUCCUUAAACAUGUUUAGCAAUUGGUAAGUAAUUUUUAAGACUUUGGGUGGAGAAUAUCUAACCUGAAUUGCUCGAAUUGACAAACCUUUUUCUUAUGUGCAGCUUCUUCGGAUCUGGGGUGCAAAAGGCUGGAAGCACAAUCAAGCAAGAACUCGUAGAUGCUCUGUUGCUUCUGUUUGUUUGACAGGAUUGUACCUUGAGCCUCUGAUGCAUGUAGAAGCACAAUCAAGUAAGAACUCGUAGAUACUCUGUUGCUUCUGUUUAUUUGACACGAUAAUACCUUGAGCUUCUGAUGUUUGUAGAAGCCUCAGCAUGAAUUGACUUAGAAAAUGAAAAAGGAAACGAAAAUUAAAAGCCUUAGUAUUGGUUGGACUUCUUUUUCCAACUAUUGGUGUCAUGAUAUGGGCCUGUAUUUUGUGUUGUGACUACCAGAAAGCGGUCCGCAAAAGAAAAAUCACAUUUGUUGGAUGUUGGGAGGUCCUUCGUUGUUGUAAAUUGGG